rnacentral:rRNA from 1 species
UACAGAGGUCCCGAGCGUUGUUCGGAUUCAUUGGGCGUAAAGGGUGCGUAGGCGGCGGGGCAAGUCUGAUGUGAAAUCCCGGGGCUCAACCCCGGAACUGCAUUGGAUACUGCCUUGCUAGAGUACUGGAGAGGGAACUGGAAUUACGGUGUAGCAGUGAAAUGCGUAGAGAUCGUAAGGAAGGCCAGUGGCGAAGGCGAGUUCCUGGACAGUUACUGACCGGCUGAGGCACGAAGGCCAGGGGAGCAAACGGG